rnacentral:rRNA from 1 species
UACGUAGGGCGCGAGCGUUGUCCGGAAUUAUUGGGCGUAAAGAGCUCGUAGGCGGUCUGUCGCGUCCGUUGUGAAAACUCGAGGCUCAACCUCGGGCUUGCAGUGGAUACGGGCAGACUAGAGUGCGGUAGGGGAGACUGGAAUUCCUGGUGUAGCGGUGGAAUGCGCAGAUAUCAGGAGGAAUACCGAUGGCGAAGGCAGGUCUCUGGGCUGAAACUGACGCUCAUGAACGAAAGCGUGGGGAGCAAACAGG